UCGCCAUGUUGCCGAGGCUGUUCUCAAACUCCUGACCUCAGGAAGUGGGGUUGAGAAGGUGUAACAGCACCCCAGACUGACCACAGCGGCCACGACUGCACACAGGGGAACUUUGCCUCGCUCGACACUACAGGGUGAAAGAAACACAGAAGUUGUCAAGGAACGUGGCCCCUCUUCCUCUCUCAUCUCUCCAGGUGUCUUGUUUCUUUGCUUUAGUCCAGGGGUUUCACUUGCUGAAUAAACUGCCUUGAAAUGUCCAAGUCAUAAA